CGGCGUGCGCCGCGGGAGGCCGAUUGCAAGUGACGACAAGCAAUCGGAACGCGAUAAAAGGUACACACGAGAGCGGAUCGGCAGAGGAUUGCGUUAUGGGCUUAGCGCCCUAGUGCUAGUUGAUAGUUUACUUUCCUAUUUUGCAUUAGAGUUACCCUAUACAUGUAUUGAGAGUAGAUGAUGUAUAGGAUGUGAGGUAUUUUGAGAUAAAUGUAAACUAAUGUUUAUCUUUUGAAGAAUGUAAGCUUAUAUUCAUAGUUUGG